GGAUAAGAAUGUCCUGAGCUUCAAAUCUCUUCCCUGAUAAAAAGAGGGCUGCUGCUCUCAAGGAACUUCAGUCAAGGGGAGUGGGGGAAGACAGUCCCAUACCCAGACAAAAAACUAGCGGGUGAAAGGCCAAUGAGUGGUGGGAAGGAAAGGGAAUGAAGCUUCCAGAAGGCUAGGGGAUAAGAAUGCAGCAGUGAACAUGGUUCCUGCAGUCAUGAAGCAAAUGUAUCCACUGUGAUACAAAAGAGACUGUAAAAAACAAACCCAAAUGGACAACAGAGUUCUGAACCAUCCUGUGACAAGUCUAGCUACCCUAAAGCUGUCAUGCAGGAGAGAUCAUGUGGAGAGAAGGAGAGUUAGACAGAGGAGGAGCCCCUGCUGUUUGAGUAUUCUCAGCCUAGACACCAGACAUGAGUGAGGAAGCAUUCAGACCCCAACUCCAGUUUAAAAACACCACCACUCAACAGCCUGUUUUCUGAGCCUACGACCACAUAUAUGCUGCAGAACUCUUUCAGGGUGUAUCUGAAACUACUUCUCUUAAAGGCAAGCUGUAACUGGCGCCAGAAAAGACAGAAGCUGAUUGAGGUCCCAGCUUGGUAACAGUUUGAAGAGUUGCAGGACUGGCUGGAUGAGUACUGGCUGCAGCAAGUCAUGCUGCCAGGAUUCUUUAUGGCUGUUUCUGCUUCCACUACAGCUGAGUCAGAAAGGUCGCUGCCCAGUGGUGGCAGUAGAUGCAGUGGACCUGG
rnacentral:antisense_RNA from 1 species